GGAGAGGUGCUAGAGCGGUUGAAUAGGUACGCCUGGAAAGCGUAUAGGGGGUUCUGCCUCCUCGUGGGUUCGAAUCCCACCCUCUCCG
rnacentral:tRNA from 1 species